rnacentral:rRNA from 1 species
UACGUAGGGUCCGAGCGUUGUCCGGAGUUACUGGGCGUAAAGCGCGCGCAGGCGGUCAUGCGCGCCCGGCGUGAAAGCCCCCGGCUCAACCGGGGAGGGUCGUCGGGGACGGCAUGACUUGAGGGCGGUAGGGGCCGGUGGAAUCCCUGGUGUAGUGGUGAAAUGCGUAGAGAUCAGGGGGAACACCCGUGGCGAAGGCGGCCGGCUGGGCCGUCCCUGACGCUGAGGCGCGAAGGCGUGGGGAGCGAACGGG